rnacentral:rRNA from 1 species
CCCGCAACGAGCGCAACCCUUAUCCUUUGUUGCCGCGGUCCGGCCGGGAACUCAAAGGAGACUGCCAGUGAUAAACUGGAGGAAGGUGGGGAUGACGUCAAGUCAUCAUGGCCCUUACGAGUAGGGCUACACACGUGCUACAAUGGCGCAUACAAAGAGAAGCGACCUCGCGAGAGCAAGCGGACCUCAUAAAGUGCGUCGUAGUCCGGAUUGGAGUCUGCAACUCGACUCCAUGAAGUCGGAAUCGCUAGUAAUCGUAGAUUAUAAUGCUACGGUGAAUACGUU